rnacentral:rRNA from 1 species
AAACCGGUUAAGGGUAAAACCCAUUGAGCCUAAUAAUCAGAAAAGAGAAAUUCAAUAAUAUAAUAUGAUUAUCAUAUGAUAAAUUAUAUUAUAGUAUGCACUUUUCUCUUAGUAUGACGUUACGAUCCAUUAGGAAAAAUAUUUGUAAAAAUAUAUUUUGUCGGAAACCCAUAGUAAAGCUUAUUUAUAAUUAGUAAUAUGAUCAUAGAGGAAGUAUUAUGAAAAUAAAUAAAACUAAGGUGUUUGUACAGAAACCUGAUGGAUUUUAGUAUCAUUAUAUAUAUCAUUUUUGAUAUACUUAUAUCUAUAAGUGUUUAUAAUGUAUUUGAUCUGUAACGAUAUAGGAACCUUUGGGACCCGUCUUGAAACACGGACCAAGAAGUCUAUCUUGCAUGCGAGUCAAUGGUUUUUUUAUAAUUACUAAAACUAAUGGCAUAAAUAACAUAACUUUAUUUGGGAUUACUGAUAAUUUUAAUAUAUUAUCAAUCCAUCUCCGGGUGUUUUCAUAAAGGGUAUGUAUUUACUCGAGAACAUACCGUGAGCAUGUAAGAUGU